GGGAGCAAGAGCCCGGAGAUGGAUUCUGAGACACGAAUCCAGGCCCUACGGGGCGCAGCAGGCGCGAAAACUUUACAAUGCAGGCAACUGUGAUAAGGGAACCCCGAGUGCCCGUAUGGACGGGCUGUUCAGGUGCUUAAAAACCACCUGGAGAAAGGGCCGGGCAAGACCGGUGCCAGCCGCCGCGGUAAUACCGGCGGCUCGAGUGGUGGCCACUAUUACUGGGCUUAAAGCGUCCGUAGCUUGGUCGUUAAGCCUCUGGGGAAAUCUUCCGGCUCAACCGGAAGGCGUCUCAGGGGAACUGGCGACCUAGGGAUCGGGAGAGGUGAGAGGUACUCUGGGGGUAGGAGUGAAAUCCUGUAAUCCUCAGGGGACCACCUGUGGCGAAGGCGUCUCACCAGAACGACUCCGACAGUGAGGGACGAAAGCUGGGGGAGCAAACCGGAUUAGAUACCCGGGUAGUCCCAGCCGUAAACUAUGCGCGUUAGGUGAGUAUUGGGAAUUCCUGCAGC
rnacentral:rRNA from 1 species